rnacentral:rRNA from 1 species
UCCAGACUCCUACGGGAGGCAGCAGUGGGGGCUCUUGCACAAUGGGGGGCACCCUGAUGCAGCGCCGCCGCGUGGGUGAAGAAGCGCCUCGGCGCGUAAAGCCCUGUCAGCAGGGAAGAAAAUGACGGUCCCUGAAGAAGAAGCCCCGGCUAACUACGUGCCAGCAGCCGCGGUAAUACGUAGGGGGCAAGCGUUAUCCGGAUUUACUGGGUGUAAAGGGAGCGUAGACGGCGAUGCAAGUCUGAAGUGAAAGGCGGGGGCCCAACCCCCGGACUGCUUUGGAAACUGUAUGGCUGGAGUGCAGGAGAGGUAAGUGGAAUUCCUAGUGUAGCGGUGAAAUGCGGAGAUAUUAGGAGGAACACCAGUGGCGAAGGCGGCUUACUGGACUGUAACUGACGUUGAGGCUCGAAAGCGUGGGUAGCAAACAGGAUUAGAUACCCCAGUAGA